rnacentral:rRNA from 1 species
UAAUACGGAGGGUGCGAGCGUUAAUCGGAAUUACUGGGCGUAAAGCGCAUGCAGGCGGCCCUGUUAAGUCAGAUGUGAAAGACCCGGGGCGUUAACCUCGGAAUUGCAUUUGAAACUAGGCAGGCUAGAGUCUUGUAGAGGGGGGUAGGAAGUUUCAGGUGUAGCGGUGAAAUGCGUAGAGAUCUGAAGGAAUAACCAGUGGCGAAGGCGGCCCCCUCGGACAAAGACUGACGCUCAGAUGCGAAAGCGUGGGGAGCAAACAGGAUUAGAUACCCUCGGUAG